AUCGAAGUGAUGGCCGCCGCCGGAUCUAAGGCCCUCGCCAUCCUCGCCGUCCUGGCGGUCGCCGCCAUCUCCGCCGUCUCCGCGGCCGACGCGCCGGCGCCCAGCCCCACCUCCGCCGCCGGCGCGGCCGCGACGCCCCUCGCCGCGGCGCUCGUCGCCUCCGCCGCCGCCUUCCUCUUCGCCGCCAUCCGCCACUGAGCCCCG
rnacentral:misc_RNA from 1 species